rnacentral:rRNA from 1 species
GAUGAACGCUAGCGGCAGGCCUAAUACAUGCAAGCUGAACGGCAAGAUUUGUAGCAAUACGAGUCCUAGAGUAGCGUAAGGGUGCGUAACACGUAUGCAAUCUGCCCGCAACAGGAGGAUAGCUUAGCGAAAGUUGAGAUAAGACUCCAUAAGAUCACGAGAGGGCAUCUGAUUGUGAUUAAACUACAAGGGGUUGCGGAUGAGCAUGCGUCUGAUUAGUAGUUGGCGGGUAACGCCCACCAAGACGAUGAUCAGUAGGGGAACUGAGAGGUU